rnacentral:rRNA from 1 species
AGCGAACGCUGGCGGCAGGCCUAACACAUGCAAGUCGAACGGAUCCUUCGGGAUUAGUGGCGGACGGGUGAGUAACACGUGGGAACGUGCCCUUUGGUUCGGAACAACUCAGGGAAACUUGAGCUAAUACCGGAUGUGCCCUUCGGGGGAAAGAUUUAUCGCCAUUGGAGCGGCCCGCGUCUGAUUAGCUAGUUGGUGAGGUAACGGCCCACCAAGGCGACGAUCAGUAGCUGGUCUGAGAGGAUGAUCAGCCACACUGGGACUGAGACACGGCCCAGACUCCUACGGGAGGCAGCAGUGGGGAAUCUUGCGCAAUGGGCGAAAGCCUGAUGCAGCCAUGCCGCGUGAAUGAUGAAGGUCUUAGGAUUGUAAAAUUCUUUCAGCGGGGACGAUAAUGACGGUACCCGCAGAAGAAGCUCCGGCUAACUUCGUG